GGGAAGAGCUGUGCGUUGUCCUCGCGGGGUGUUUAGGAUGUGAGCGCAGCUCCCGGCGAUGGGAUGGGGAUGGGAAGCACCGCAGCUCAGCCCACGCGUGCGGGACUUCUGUGUGGAGAGCAGGACUUCAACCUCACUGCUGGCCCUCAGAAGUCAGGAAAUAAUGGCGUUUUGGUGAAGCCCCAAAUCUGGAGACUCUGAGAGUCUUCAGAUGUGGUGCGGAUUUGGACCCAGUGGUGGUGGAAUGGAGGACAAAGCACCAAUGGUGUGAAUGUCUACAGGACCCUUCCAACCCAACCAUCCCAUGGCUCUAUGAUCUCUAAGGUCCCUCCAAAAACACCCCACCUGGUGGUUCUACGAUCUUCACGGUCCCACCACAGGCUGUGAAGAAUGGGCAAAAGGCAGAAAUUGCACCCAAAAGGGGACGUCCCGGAGGGUCGGCUUUGUGUGUCACGUCCAUAAAUCAGCGCUCUCUGUGGGCCGUCCCCGCGCGCUGCGCCAUUCGGGUUGGGUCAUAAAUAGGGCCGUGGGUCCUUUCAGGUUGAUAAAGGCAGAGGGGGCGGAGCAGUGGGGAGGCGUUGCGACCACAUAACACUUUCAUGGCGCUGUCAGAAUAAAGAAUACUGGUG
rnacentral:lncRNA from 1 species